AUGAUUAUAAAGCUAAAGCUGGACUGACAAAGACUGACCGAGUGAAACAGAGCACCCUGAUAACUUUACCUACUUAUUACUUAUUAACAGUGAGAGAAAGUCUUUAGAUUCUCUGAAGCUGAGUUACUGUUUCACAGUAAAAAUGCAACCAGAUCAAAUUCACCGUGCACCACCAGUUUGAGGACCUGCAAGAACUAACUCAGCAGCAGCUGCUUUCAAUAACUUCGAUUGCAAUCAGUGGAAGCAGAAUGUGAGAAAGUUUUGUGUCCCCUCUGACAUCUUUCCUGCCACUGUGGCUUCACUCAGAGCAUGAGUGAUUAUUUUGCUGGUUUGUAGCUUUAAUCAUUAUUCUGCUGCAGGUAGAGUCUGUGGUUGAGCUCAACCUCAUGGCUCGUUCAUUCAGGCUCUCCUGGCUUUGCACUCUGUUGUGGAGCUGCUUGUGCUUUCCUCCUGAAGAAGGUUACAGUAGUGCACAUGGCUACUAUCUCUAUGAGAGCCCGCAAACCUCUAGCAGAUUUCAUUCUGGACAGUCUUUGAAUACAAACAAUGAGAAUGUUGGACGGCAAAGCUUUGUUUCCCGUCAGCCAGAAGCAUUUACUUAUGAUAAAGGACAGGAUGCUACCCCUGAGAUGAAGCAAAGCCAGCCUGAUAAGUUUCACGGGGCCUCUUCUGCUCCUCUUAUAGAGCAAAAUGAGCAGUCUGGUUAUCACCAUCCCUUUGACCUUUUAGUGAGGGGAAACACGCAGGAGCCUGUGAAGGGUGUCGCUUUCCCCACAAUGAGUCAUUUAAAGGAGUUUAUAGAAAACAUGAAGCAUUCCUUCUUAGUACCAGGAAGUGACUUGAGUAGACAUUUUGAAACUGCACGGGAAAAAAUGAAAACUCUCGGAACAUCCAUGGACUAUAGACCAUCUCCUGAAAAAGGAGGCACUGCCUCUGGUGACAGCAAGAAAAAUAACGAUCGGAUUGAAGAAGAUGCCAACUACCAAAUGCCAAAUAAACUCCUCUCUUUCCCUGAUCCUGUCGACUCCUCUGCAAGUCUCAUUUCUUCCAGUGUUUAUGACAACCAAAAAUUUAGGCCGGGCACCACUUUCUACCCACACGAUCAUUUAGCAGCCACAGGUCUUGCUUCAAGAAAUUUGGCACACGGUUUUCCCUGGGGAAACAAUGACUUAUCUGUGAGUGUGGAUUCAGAACAAUACAAACCACCAAAAAAAACAAAAUUUCCCUCCAGCUCCUUUCACAGGCAGGGUUCUUCCUAUAGUGAACAUGUGACUGCACCCCCUGUGAACUCUGCAAACAGCCCAUCUCAAGAUUUCAGCCAGUAUUCAAGUGAGACCUCAAAUUUAACACCUUAUUGGAAGGAUAUGCUAAAUCCAGUACAUGUCUCUCAAAGUAGAGAUCCUUUAAUGAGGUACUGGAGACCACCCAGUGGCUUUGAACUCACUAAAGACUUCCACAGAGCAAGUCAAACUGAUGUCCCAUCUGCAAAAAUCCUACCAUCUGUAUAUUCCUAUGGUAAAAAGCAUCACCCCUCCAUGCAGCAUUAUUGGCCCAAAUACAAGACAAGAAUAGGUGCUUCAGUCCAGGCACGUCAACCUACUGAGAGCAAAGAGUUGAGGACUGUAAAAUAUGCUCCCAACGUCCACUGGCCUCCAUCAAGUGGUUCUGUCUCUUUAAGCUUUAAUGACCCCUUACCCCAGUGGAGAAGAGGUCACAUGGGUUAUCAAAGCAGCCCACAAUACCCGCAAAUUCCUCAUUAUAAGCAAAAACAGAUGGACAGAGCUCACUGGAUGUUUACCGCCAAACCCUUGAAUUUUGUUCCCGGAUACCAGAAAGUCAGUGCUGUUCCCUUCGUCCUAAAUGCCCAUGCAAAACAUGAGAAUUCAAACCUCUACAAUCAAAAACUCCUAUCUACCUUUCAGAAACCGCAUUACAAUAGAUUGAGAAAUCCACCCCAGAGUGGGCUCGCAUCUUAUGGAGUAAGAAACACACUGGGCUCAUUUUCUAAACCACAGAGGCAAACUGUGAGGUCUGAACGUUUACAGCCUUUCAUGCAACCAAACAGGCACAUGCCUCGAGCCAGUGUGAGUAGACGGCCCAGACACUUGGCCAACUGGCCUUCUGAACAGCAGCCUAAACCUACAGGUUUGAUGCCUAAGUGUGUUAUUAAGAGGAACACAAAAAGCCUUCCUCCUCAAGAGUCCCGUAACACAUCUCCAUCAUCUCUAAAUCCAUACGUUAAAUCUAAAAACCGCUUCACACGGGCCGUAGCAUAUCUGUCAAAGGUCUGUUUCACACCCCGUAUGGUGCAAGGGAAGAAUAAUAACAAUCAGUGGAGACUGGUAAGAAGAUGGCGUGAAUGAAAGGACAUGACAAGUCAGUGUGCAGGACCGGGAAGAAUGAUGAACAUGUUUUUGAAGAUGGCCACACAACAACAUCUGCCUUGAGGUGCUUUACACUGUAACAUUAAGACCCUGCAAUAAUACAGAGAAAACCCCAACAAUCAGACGACCACAUUUUGAGCGAGCGUUUGGAGACAGUGGAAAGGGAAAAACUCCCUUUAAACAGGAAGAAACCUCCAGCAGAACCGGUCUCAGGGAGGGGUGGCCAUCUGCUCCAACUGGGGGUGAGAGAGGGAAGACGGGACAAAAGACACGCUGUGGGAGACAGCCAGAGAUAGAUAAAUAAUAAUUAAAUGCAAAAUGGUGUAUAAACACAGUGAAUGAAGAAGUGCAGCCUAGGCCUGUUGCAGUGCAACUAAGGGAGGAUUCAGAGUCACCUGAUCAGGCCCUAACUAUAUGCUUUAUCAAUAAAGAAAGUUUUAAUCCUAAUCUUAACAGUAGACGGUGUGUCUGUCUCUUGAAUAUAAACUCAGAGCUGGCUCCACAGAUGAGGGAGCUUUUUAUUUACCUGAAGGCUUGAUUUCAUAAGCAUAUUGACCACUAAUACUAAAACUACUGUUGCAGACUUUCUCUUAGAUAUUGCAAAGUUUCUCCAGGAUCACGUGAGCCGGUUCAGCUUCACAAUAUAAGACGUUGGAUGUAAAAUGCAUUAAAGUAGUGCAGGUGACUCUGAUCGUGAAAUCGAGCUUUUAGGUCCACAGAAGCUCUUUUAAGAUUUUUUUUAUUAUUAUUAUUUAUUUAUUUUUCAUCCAAUGAAUGCUUUACUUUUCCAAUGUCUGGAUUUUAUUUGCAGGUAACAUUACUGACAAGUGGUCUAUGUACAUAGAUGUAUUCAUAAUCUUAAUGGCCAUUCUUUAAAACCUAAAAACUGGAAAAACUUAUAGAUUUAAUUUAAUAGGAUUGGUCUUCAGCAGCAAAUCCAUUUCCUGUUCUUCUACCUACAUCGACUAUUUCAGUAAGAACCUGAAAGUGUUACAAUUUUGACUUGUCUUGAUUGCCACAUUUGAUGGUAGUCCUCAUUUUAAAUCAUCA
ensembl:lncRNA